ensembl:piRNA 21ur-4437 ncRNA
AUAAAGCUGGCUACCGUACUU